rnacentral:tRNA from 1 species
UGGAAUAUUGCUUAGUGAUAGAGCAUUUGCCUAGCAUGCACAAGGCCCCGCUUGGGUUGUCUUCCCAAUAUUGCAA